rnacentral:lncRNA from 1 species
GGAUAUCCACAUGAGGUCUCGAUCUGAUCAGAAGUUUCUUGAUCUCCUCGGAGUGCUAGCUCCUUUGCAGAGAUUGCAUCUUAAUGGUUGAAAAUUUUUUGUUUUUCUCAAGACCCUCUUAGAGAAGAAGAAGAGAAUAGGAGGAUGAAGAUCUUUACUUUAGAGAUGAUGAGAAGAACACUUUCUUCUCUUUCUUCCCAAAACCUAUGCACAAAAUCUCUAUGCUAGAGAUUUAAGAAAUAUGUCCAACUCUUGGACAAAGGAAAGAAAAAAAUUCAUAUCCAAAACUUGGACAAAAGAGGGAGAG